AGUGAACGCUGGCGGUAGGCCUAACACAUGCAAGUCGAACGGCAGCACAGUAAGAGCUUGCUCUUACGGGUGGCGAGUGGCGGACGGGUUAGGAAUACAUCGGAAUCUACUUUUUCGUGGGGGAUAACGUAGGGAAACUUACGCUAAUACCGCAUACGACCUACGGGUGAAAGCAGGGGAUCUUCGGACCUUGCGCGAUUGAAUGAGCCGAUGUCGGAUUAGCUAGUUGGCGGGGUAAAGGCCCACCAAGUCGACGAUCCGUAGCUGGUCUGAGAGGAUGAUCAGCCACACUGGAACUGAGACACGGUCCAGACUCCUACGGGAGGCAGCAGUGGGGAAUAUUGGACAAUGGGCGCAAGCCUGAUCCAGCCAUACCGCGUGGGUGAAGAAGGCCUUCGGGUUGUAAAGCCCUUUUGUUGGGAAAGAAAAGCAGCAGGUUAAUACCCCGCUGUUCUGACGGUACCCAAAGAAUAAGCACCGGCUAACUUCGUG
rnacentral:rRNA from 1 species